GAGUUUGAUCCUGGCUCAGAACGAACGCUGGCGGCGUGCUUAACACAUGCAAGUCAGGGAGAAAGUCUCUUCGGGGAUGAUUAAACCGGCGCACGGGUGAGUAACACGUGAGUGACCUGCCUUUUAGACUGGAACAACUUACCGAAAGGUGAGCUAAUGCCGGAUGAGUUAUAUAAGUGCAUGUUUAUAUAGGAAAAGUUGGGGAGACCUGACGCUGAAAGAUGGACUCGCGUCCCAUUAGCUAGUUGGUAGGGUAAUGGCCUACCAAGGCGACGAUGGGUAGCCGGCCUGAGAGGGUGGCCGGCCACACUGGGACUGAGACACGGCCCAGACUCCUACGGGAGGCAGCAGUGGGGAAUUUUGCGCAAUGCUCGUAAGAGUGACGCAGCGACGCCGCGUGAAUGACGAAGGCCUUCGGGUCGUAAAGUUCUUUCGACAGAGAAGAAAAUGCCUAUAAGUAACUGUGUAUGUAUUGACGGUACCUGUAUAAGCAGCCCCGGCUAACUCCGUGCCAGCAGCCGCGGUAAUACGGAGGGGGCGAGCGUUGUUCGGAGUGACUGGGCGUAAAGAGCACGUAGGCGGUGUUGUAAGUCAUUAGUCAAAGACUAGAGCUCAACUUUAGUAAGGCUAGUGAUACUAUAAUACUAGAGUAUCAGAGAGGAUUGCAGAAUUCCUGGUGUAGCGGUGAAAUGCGUAGAUAUCAGGAGGAAUACCGUUAGCGAAGGCGGCAAUCUGGCUGGAAACUGA
rnacentral:rRNA from 1 species